CCGGAUGAAUACUCAAGUUGCUCUUAUGACUUUCUUCUAAAAUCAACUUCUUCAAUUCUUCAUUGUCAGGAAUACAAAUUCUGCCUCUAAAUCUCAACACACCUUGUUCAUCAACCUUGAAAUCACUAUUCUCAGCUUGAUUACUAGUAACCAUAAAAUCCACAAACUUGACAUCAACUUGUUGUGCUUCUCUGAUACUAUUCAAGAAAUCACUAUUGAUCUUCAAUAUACCCAACUGCACACUUUGAGGUGACAAUUCACAAACGAGACUCAAGUCUCUAAACUGUUCAAGCAAUUCGAAUUCCUUCACCAUCAUGGCCGACAUGUGCAAUGUCUUUCUACUCAACGCAUCUGCAACUACAUUAGCUUUACCCGGAUGGUAAUUCAAGCCAAAAUCAUAAUCUUUUAAUAACUCAAGUCAUCUCCUCUGCCUCAUGUUCAAUUCUUUCUGGUCAAACAAAUAUUUCAAACUUUUGUGGUCACUAAACACUUCAAAUCUUGAACCAUACAAAUAGUGCCUCCAAAUUUUCAAAACAAAUACCACCGCAGCCAACUCCAAAUCAUGCGUAGGAUAAUUCUUUUCAUGAACUCUCAGCUGCCUAGAAGCAUAAGCUACCAC
rnacentral:lncRNA from 1 species